rnacentral:rRNA from 1 species
CCUACGGGUGGCUGCAGUGGGGAAUAUUGCACAAUGGGCGCAAGCCUGAUGCAGCCAUGCCGCGUGUGUGAAGAAGGCCUUCGGGUUGUAAAGCACUUUCAGCGGGGAGGAAGGCGGUGAGGUUAAUAACCUCAUCGAUUGACGUUACCCGCAGAAGAAGCACCUGCUAACUCCGUGCCAGCAGCCGCGGUAAUACGGAGGGUGCAAGCGUUAAUCGGAAUUACUGGGCGUAAAGCGCACGCAGGCGGUCUGUCAAGUCGGAUGUGAAAUCCCCGGGCUCAACCUGGGAACUGCAUUCGAAACUGGCAGGCUAGAGUCUUGUAGAGGGGGGUAGAAUUCCAGGUGUAGCGGUGAAAUGCGUAGAGAUCUGGAGGAAUACCGGUGGCGAAGGCGGCCCCCUGGACAAAGACUGACGCUCAGGUGCGAAAGCGUGGGGAGCAAACAGGAUUAGAUACCCGGGUAGUC